rnacentral:rRNA from 1 species
UACGUAGGAUCCGAGCAUUGUCCGGAUUUACUGGGUGUAAAGGGUGCGCAGGCGGACUGGUAAGUCAGAGGUGAAAUCUCGUCGCUUAACGACGAAACUGCCUUUGAUACUAUCAGUCUUGAGUCCGGUAGAGAUCUGUGGAAUUCCGAGUGUAGCAGUGAAAUGUGUAGAUAUUCGGAAGAACACCAGUGGCGAAGGCAGCAGAUUGGGCCGGUACUGACGCUCAGGCACGAAAGCAUGGGGAUCAAACAGG